rnacentral:misc_RNA from 1 species
UCUCCGUAGGUGAACCUGCGGAGGGAUCAUUAAAGAGAAAGGACGCAAGUCCGACCUCCAACCCUUGUAUUAUUACAGUUUCUUCGGUGCUCAUCUCUUCGCGGAGAGGCACCGAAUAUUAUACCCGUCAUACUUGAAGUCUUAUCACAAGUUAAAUCUAUUAAAACUUUCAACAACGGAUCUCUUGGUUCUGGCAUCGAUGAAGAACGCAGC